UACAGAGGGUGCAAGCGUUGUUCGGAAUUACUGGGCGUAAAGCGCGUGUAGGCUGCGACGUAAGUCAGGUGUGAAAGCCCUCAGCUUAACUGAGGAAGUGCACUUGAUACUGCGUCGCUUGAGUGUCGGAGGGGGUGGCGGAAUUCCCGGUGUAGAGGUGAAAUUCGUAGAUAUCGGGAGGAACACCUGUGGCGAAGGCGGCCACCUGGACGACAACUGACGCUGAGACGCGAAAGCGUGGGUAGCAAACAGG
rnacentral:rRNA from 1 species